UGGCGGACGGGUGAGUAAUGUCUGGGAAACUGCCUGAUGGAGGGGGAGUAACUACUGGAAACGGUAGCUAAUACCGCAUAACGUCGCAAGACCAAAGAGGGGGACCUUCGGACCUCUUGCCAUCGGAUGUGCCCAGAUGGGAUUAGCUAGUAGGUGGGGUAACGGCUCACCUAGGCGACGAUCCCUAGCUGGUCUGAGAGGAUGACCAGCCACACUGGAACUGAGACACGGUCCAGACUCCUACGGGAGGCAGCAUG
rnacentral:rRNA from 1 species